rnacentral:rRNA from 1 species
ACGGGAGGCAGCAGUGGGGGAUAUUGCACAAUGGGGGAAACCCUGACGCAGCGACGCCGCGUGAGUGAAGAAGUAUUUCGGUAUGUAAAGCUCUAUCAGCAGGAAAGAUAAUGACGGUACCUGACUAAGAAGCACCGGCUAAAUACGUGCCAGCAGCCGCGGUAAUACGUAUGGUGCAAGCGUUAUCCGGAUUUACUGGGUGUAAAGGGAGCGCAGGCGGUACGGCAAGUCUGAUGUGAAAGCCCGGGGCUCAACCCCGGUACUGCAUUGGAAACUGUCGAACUAGAGUGUCGGAGGGGUAAGUGGAAUUCCUAGUGUAGCGGUGAAAUGCGUAGAUAUUAGGAGGAACACCAGUGGCGAAGGCGGCUUACUGGACGAUAACUGACGCUGAGGCUCGAAAGCGUGGGGAGCAAACAGGAUUAGAUACCCUGGUA